UAAAUUCUUUUGAUAUAGACUUGACGCGUGUCUCGCUUCUCCACAAACCGAGCUUUCUUCACUCCUUUUCGCUCUAUUGUUUUGGGCUUCAGUUGCCAGGCCCGUAAGUGAAGAUGAACCCUAGAUCGCGUUUCGCGUUUACACCAUCGCCUCCGUCCUGACUUUGCGAUUCCGGUAACGGUUCAGCCGAUACUUAACUCCCAUUUAUUGUUACCUCCACGAUGUGCCUUCAAUGCGGUCGUCGCGUCGCAUAGGCGUUUUGUCAUGUCUACUCCCAGGGUUUUCUUCUCAGACCUCAAGUCCGGCAAGUGCUCAUCCGCUGUUGAGGCUCGGCUUCUGCGAUUCUGGGAGGCGAAGAAUGUCAAACGCGGUGGGGAGCUGAUGUGGGUCGACAUGCUCUUGAUUGAUGUCAAUGCGACAAUGAUGCAAGCCACCAUCUAUGCUAACCGCCUUUCAAGAUUUCGUUCCAAACUCGCCGCCGGAACGAUGUACACCAUCUCUGGAUUCGACUCCCCUCUGAUGAUCCGGUUUAAUGAUUCCACCGCCUUUGAUGAGCUAACCGAGCCGGUUAGUCCAUUACCUGAAGAAGGAUUCCGGUUCCGUAAUCAGUCUGAAUAGCAAGGGUUCAUCGUGUUCGUCGACCUUUGGGUAAUCUCAAACAAUGGAGUUUCGAAGAGAGUUAUCAGAGACGGAUCGAUCGAUCUGUAUUCGUGUCGUUUCGUCUUGCUUCUGGAUGAAUUGAUUUGAUGCCAUUAAUGAUAUUCUUAACUCCAUCAAGCCACUGCAACCACGUUUUGUCAUUCAAUACACCUUCUAUCUCUUCAAAGGCGGUGCAUCUCAAGCUAUAAAAAGCUGAGCUUUCAUCCCAUAAACAUUAUCCUCACAAAUCAAAAUAAUCCUUGAAAGUUAUUUGAUUUUUUAACUCAAUAUUGAUGUUUGUUGUUUGCUUUUUAUACUUUUAUUAUAUGCUUGAAUCAGCAACGCAGGGCCGUGCUAGGCAGGAACUAGAAGACUCUUGCUUUUCGGAUUCCCUUCAUUAACAUAAUCAACAAACUCAACUCUAAACACAGGCUUGGUAAGAACCAUUUUUGUUUGGUUUUGGCUCCGACAAGAGAGCUUGCUGGUCCGGUAGCAAAUAAAUUCAGAGAAGCCCCAUCUCUCGGUGAGGCACGAAACAGAACAGCAAAAUGAGAACUCUCAGAUGCAGAAUUUCGCUGGUGUUGGUGGUGCUCCUGUUGGUGAUAGUUUAGGACCUUCACGUCUCUCUCCGGCUGACUUCUACGUCUUGAAAGUUUGACAGGGCAUGUGAAUCAUAAUGAGGAUGAUAAAGCUGAGGCUCCGGAGGAUGAGAUGGUUGUGAAAGAGCCUGAGGUAGAAAAUAAACAGAACUGGAACCGGUGUUUGAAAAACAGAAGGAGAGGAGGCAGAAAGCUUUGAAUGAGAAAGAGAUGGAUAAUGUUGCAUACAAUGACUUCGAAACUUCUAUCAAGCAUUACUCCAAAAAGGCAUUAGGGAGAAACAGAAACAUGAAGAGGUGAAUCGUUUAAAGAGGGAGACUGCUGAAACAGAGGAAUCACAUAGACGAAUAAGAAGAAGAGAGUAAGAGACCCAUGACAGAGCGUCAAGCUGCAGAGAGAGAGAGAAGCUACUAGACUGAGAAUAAGGCAAGAAAAGGCACUUCAUCUUGACGGAUCUGAGAAAGGACCUGAUGCUAAACAUGAGUCAACAGAAGUUUUUUUUUAUUCUUUAUCGAUGCUUGAAGCGGUAACUCAUCUCUCUCUCUCUAAAUACAUGUAUGUAUAUAUUUCUCAGUACAAUGUCUUACAAAUACGCUUAUCUGUUUUGUUGAAACAUUUGAUUUGUUCUGGACCUUGCGGGGAAUGGAGGCACAUAUUAUGAACAUAAGAUGUCACUUCUGGCUACUACAAAGUAUCAAGGAUCAUUUGAAGAAGAUAGCAUGGUGAUGGAUUCAAAUAUGUAGUGAAGGGAAGAGCCAGAGGAUGAGACAUGGGUCAUUCCGGAGAUAAACGUCGUGCCGUGGUGGAAUGUUAACGUAUAGAUCUGAAGGAGAGGCCAAACAAAUCUUUUCUUUAGUCGAUAGAAACACAGUUUUUGUUUUUGUCGAGAGUAACUAUAUAAAAAUUAAUAAUAUUUUAUAAAAACCGAACGAGAGGCACAAUAUAAAACAACGUGAUAAAGAAUA